rnacentral:rRNA from 1 species
UGCCAGCAGCCGCGGUAAUACGAAUGGAGCAAGCGUUGUUCGGAAUCACUGGGCUUAAAGCGUAUGUAGGCGGACUUACAAGUCAGGAGUGAAAUCCCAGGGCUCAACCCUGGAACUGCUCUUGAAACUGUAGGUCUAGAAUCCUGGAGAGGUUGGGAGAAUUCCGAGUGUAGAGGUGAAAUUCGCAGAUAUUCGGAGGAAUACCAGUGGCGUAGGCGCCCAACUGGACAGGUAUUGACGCUCAGAUACGAAAGCGUGGGGAGCAAACAGGAUUAGAUA